rnacentral:tRNA from 1 species
CAGGGAGACAGCAAAAUGUUUAAUAUUAUUAUUUUGUCACCUUAGGUCGAUCGGUAUCUCACGUUCUUAAUUAUUAAGAAUUUCAAUUCCUAAGUUUUUCUAGGUCACACCCAUUAUUUUUCCUGGGCCAUUAGCUCAGGUGGUUAGAGCGCACCCCUGAUAAGGGUGAGGUCCCUGGUUCAAGUCCAGGAUGGCCCAUAUCUCUAUGUUGGGGGUAUAGCUCAGUUGGUAGAGCGCCUGCUUUGCAAGCAGGAUGUCAGCGGUUCGAGUCCGCUUACCUCCACUGAUUACCACCUCUUCCAUAAUCUUUUAAAAGGAAAUGUUUUGAGUCGUGAUCAAAUUCUGAACGAAUCUAGCUUCCUAAUGAAUUCAUUAAGAUGCUGGACUCAUUGAAUUAAUUUCAUUGUUUUCAGAGAACCUUGACAACUGCAUAGAUUAUUUUAAAGACAAUAAGCAUCUUAAAUGAUGCAGAUUUAUUAUUUGUGCAAAUGCAUUAAUAACAAUUCUAUUAAGCUGAUGCUUCAACGUUGAAGUUAUU